GACGAACGCUGGCGGCGUGCUUAACACAUGCAAGUCGAACGGAAAGGCCCUGCUUUUGUGGGGUGCUCGAGUGGCGAACGGGUGAGUAACACGUGAGUAACCUGCCCUUGACUUUGGGAUAACUUCAGGAAACUGGGGCUAAUACCGGAUAGGAGCUCCUGCUGCAUGGUGGGGGUUGGAAAGUUUCGGCGGUUGGGGAUGGACUCGCGGCUUAUCAGCUUGUUGGUGGGGUAGUGGCUUACCAAGGCUUUGACGGGUAGCCGGCCUGAGAGGGUGACCGGCCACAUUGGGACUGAGAUACGGCCCAGACUCCUACGGGAGGCAGCAGGGGGGAAUAUUGCACAAUGGGCGGAAGCCUGAUGCAGCAACGCCGCGUGCGGGAUGAAGGCCUUCGGGUGGUAAACCGCUUUCGCCUGUGACGAAGCGUGAGUGACGGUAAUGGGUAAAGAAGCACCGGCUAACUACGUG
rnacentral:rRNA from 1 species